rnacentral:lncRNA from 1 species
UGAACCCAGGUGCAGCUGGCCCCCUCUCUAAAGAAAAGAAAAUAGCAAACCUGCUUGCAGACAGAGGCUCAUCCACACCAGAGGGGCAGUGACCUCCCUUCAUUGCUUAAGUAUAAGGGUGGCAGCAGGACUUAACCUGGUAUGAGGGGAGCAACGCGGUGCCAGGGCCUCAGGGAAGAUGAUCAGGGCCUGCGUAGCUGCAGGGUAAGUGAUGAGAGGGAAGCCAGGCUGCCAGCUCCAGAAACUAAAAAGAAGAGGAGGUGAUGGUGAGAACUUACUUACUCUAUCUGUACUCAACUGUGUGUGUGUGGUUUUAUUUUUUGCUUUUUUUUUUUUUUUUUUGAGAUGGAAUCUUGCUCCAUUGCCCAGGCAAGAGUGCAGUGGCACAAUCUCGGCUCACGGUAACCUCUGCCUCCUGGGUUCAAGCGGUUCUCCUGCCUCAGCCUCUUGAAUAUCUGGGACUACAGGUGCAUGCCACCACACUCAGCUAAUUUUGGUAUUUUUAGUAGAGAUGAGGGUUUCACCAUGUUGGCCAGGCUGGCCUCGAACACCUGACCUCAAGUGAUCCACCUGCCUCGGCCUUCCAAAGUGCUGGGAUUAACAGGCGUGAGCCACCGCACCUGGCUUGUACUCAACUGUUUUUAUUUCACUUAUUGACACAAACACAUUCUACCAACAGGCGAAGAAGGAAGGACUGGAUGGAAAAGGAAUAAAGUUGCCUUAUUCUCCCCUUUCCUUCUAUGUCAUUAUUUUCACUGUUAGGUGGCUAGCUAAUACAUAACUAUCUUAGCAAAUGUAAAUCAGCAGAUGUUUCAAAAAAGGUGAAACUCAUGGCUUCUACACUUCUCAGUGGGGGGAUGGGUCUUCUGGGUCAUCCUAGUUACUUUACUGCCAAGGGACUGUGGGUGUAUGGGUGGGUAUGUGGUAUGUGCGUGUGUAUGUGUGUGUGUGUGUGUGUGUGUGUGUGUGUGUUGCUCCCAUCACAGCAAGUAGUUGGAGUAGGAGGAGUGGUUUGAGUGGAUAUUGGUCAAGGUCACUGAUAAAAAGAGCAAAGUGAUACAAAGGUUCAGCAUGGGCCUGUUAGUGUGGGAGGUGACUAAAUGUUUAUUUUUACAUGUAAAUGAUCAACCUAUCUACUUUAGUCACACCUGGUAAAUGUGUGUGUGUGUAUGUGUUGCAUAAGAGCUUGAGGAGUUGAUUUGAGAGGGCAGUGAGACAUGGAUUAUCCUUCUACAAAAUAUAAUCUCUGUAUAGAGUUUGAAGAGAUUACAGGGAAAGCUCACUAGGCCAUGUUGUGAGUUCUAGAACCAGGAGGAAUGGAAGCUCACCUCCCAGGUGGAGAUGUGGCCUCUCUGCACUAUAGGCAGUAUGUGUUACUAUACACCUAGCUAGGGAUGAAACAAAGUGUGUCCAGCACCUGCCCCCACCACCCCUUGCCCUGGCCUAUGCUGACUGUAAGAUGGCUUGGCUCAGAAUAGCAACUAAUACACACAAAAAUGAGUCUGUUCCAAUAUUUAUCAUCCCAAACUGCAUGCAAAUAUGCUAAAGAAGUAUACUGGGAUAUUUCACUGUGGUUAGUUACUACAUAUAGAAAAGAGAAUAAAUAAUCUAAAAAUUCUGAAUUCCCAACCAGUGAGGGAUCUAUUCUGGACACCUUUCACCUGGCAGCUCUAGUUGGUGAGAAUAAACAGAAGGAUGAUGUUUUGAGACCCAAGGAAAAAACCCCGAGGCCAUUCAAAGCCACUUAGUUUAACCUGCCUGACCUGCCUAAUACCAAAGAGGCAACUGGAGCAAUGAGCUUAUGGCCAUAGAACGAAACAGUCUCUCGCAUCCCCUAAGCCAGGCCAAAAAGUUACCCAGCAGUUUCACGAUGUUUAGACCAAUACUUCAGGCACUCAUCAUUUCUCAUCUGGAGGAUGGUGGCAGCCUCGCUGCCUCUUGUACCACCAUUUAAUCUGCCUCAGGAUGGGUCUGUUACUGGAAAGGGGUCCUGAACCAGACCCCAGGGAAGGUUUCUUGGAUCUUGUGCAAGCAAGAAUUCAGGGUGAGUCCGUAAAGUGAAAGCAAAUUUAUCAAGAAAGUAAUGAAUAAAAGAAUGGCUACUCCAUAGGCGGAGCAGCCCCGAAGGCCCAUUUUUAGGGUUAUUUCUUGAUGGUACGCUAAACAAGGGGUGGGUUAUUCAUGCAGCCCCUUUUUAGACCAUAUAGGGUAACUUCCUAACAUUGCCAUGGCAUUUGUAAACUGUCAUGGUGCUGGUGGGAGUGUAGCAGUGAGGAUGACCACAGGUCACCAUCUUGGUUUUCGUGGGUUUUAGCCCACUUCUUUACUGCAGCCUGUUUCAUCAGCAAGGUCUUUAUGACCUGUAUCUCGUGGCGACCUCCUAUCUCAUCCUGUGACUAAAAAUGCCUUAACCUCCUGGAAAUCCAGCCCAGCAGGUCUUAGCCUUAUUUUCCCAGCCCCUAUUCAAGAUGGAGUCUCUCUGGUUCACAUGCCUAUGACAGGCCUACUAAACACAAGUCUGACCUUUUGUUACCAGCCAGCAUCACUAUCCUCACAUGCCUUAGGAUUCUUCAGUGGCUCCCACUGCCUGAAAAAGUCAAGUUUAAACAUACAUGUAUAACAUUUUUGACCCUGUAUAAAUUUGGCUUUUCUUUUAUCCUCCUGUUUUUCAGAGAAAAUGGAUAGCCCAGACAAAGGUUUCAGCUAGCCUGGUCAUUAAGUGCUAGGAUUUAUGUGGGUCUUAGGAGACAGGAUUUUAGCAGGGAAGCCACUCCAAUUUUUACCUGUUGAAAUUAUUUAAAUAUUUUAAUGCUCUGUGUGAACAAAACCAAAUUUAUCUGCAGGGCCAAUAAGCUCAGAGGCUGCCAGUUUUUACCCUUUAGAAGAGGAUCAUGCUGACAAC